GAAUAACCAGUUUUUUAUUACAAAAGAAAUUACACCAUCACGCACAAAACAGCCAGUAUCACGCCCGGCAACGUCACUCUGCUGACUUUUCUAAAAAGAUGUCGUAAUGCCCGGAAUAUGGGCACUCCUGUAAAUCGAAUAUCGGAAAUAUUCGCAUGAUUCAUUUCUUUUUUUUUCAACCCGGAAACGGAAACUCAUACCUG